rnacentral:rRNA from 1 species
GUAGGUGGCAAGCGUUGUCCGGAAUUAUUGGGCGUAAAGCGCGCGCAGGUGGUCGUUUAAGUCUGAUGUGAAAGACCCCCGGGCUCAACCGGGGAGGGUCAUUGGAAACUGGGGAACUUGAGUGCAGGAGAGGAAAGUGGAAUUCCACGUGUAGCGGUGAAAUGCGUAGAUAUGUGGAGGAACACCAGUGGCGAAGGCGACUUUCUGGCCUGUAACUGACACUGAGGCGCGAAAGCGUGGGGAGCAAACAGGAUUAGAUGCCCUGGUAGUCCACGCCGUAAACGAUGAGUGCUAAGUGUUGGGGGGUUUCCGCCCCUCAGUGCUGCAGCUAACGCAUUAAGCACUCCGCCUGGGGAGUACGGUCGCAAGACUG